AGCUCAGAACAACUAUUUUGAGGAAUCCCAUGGCCUAGGUGAUUAUCCUUCAUUAGUGAUAUCAAGAACUUAGUUUCCAUCGUCUACGGAAACAUAUCCUGAUUACUAUUCUGAUUCUGUUGGUUCUUCAAUGGGAAUGUACGACAACACAUCAACUCAGAACGCUUUUGUUGUGUACGGAUUUAGUAAUGAAACUAUUAGAGUUUGGGCACCGACUUCUGAAGAUGACUAUGUAUUUGCUGGCACGGAUGGUUGGAAUUUUAAUGCUGUUAAGAAUGGAACUUUGGAAUUAUAUGCAUGGAGGAAUUCAUCAUUAACUACGUCUUUUUCAUCACAAACUACAGUUCCUUCUGUU